rnacentral:piRNA from 1 species
CCUUUGUGUUUCGGAUGGCUCUGAGG